rnacentral:rRNA from 1 species
AUGGCGACCUCUAACAAGCCAAUAUCGUUGGCUGGGCCGUUGGACGCUGAUGUCCAGAGGACGGUGGAAUUGAACAAGUUCUUGGUUGAGGCCGGCCUAUAUGAAAGUGCCGACGAGUCUGCUAGGCGAGAGGAGGUGCUGGGGGAGCUUGACAAGAUUGUAAAAGAUUGGGUGAAACAGUUAACUAGCCAGAGAGGAUAUACUGAUCAAAUGGUCGAAGAGGCAAACGCCGUGCUUUUCACCUUUGGGUCAUACCGUCUAGGGGUCCAUGGACCUGGGGCUGACAUCGAUACUCUAUGUGUUGGACCUUCAUAUGUGAAUCGCGAGGAAGACUUCUUCAUUGUACUGCAUGACAUAUUAGCACAAAAUGAGGAAGUGACUCAAUUGCAACCUGUACCUGAUGCACAUGUACCUGUGAUGAAAUUUAAGUUCCAUGGGAUAUCCAUCGACCUUCUAUAUGCCAGUGUUUCUCUCUUAGUAGUACCAUCUGAUUUGGAUAUCUCUCAGGAAGCAGUGCUUUAUGACAUUGAUGAGGCAACUGUUCGUAGUCUUACUGGCUGCAGAGUGGCUGACCAAAUUCUUAGGCUUGUUCCGAAUAUUGAGAGCUUUCGAACAACACUAAGGUGUUUAAAGCACUGGGCAAGAAGAAGAGGUGUUUAUUCUAAUGUUACUGGUUUUCUUGGAGGUGUGAAUUGGGCUUUACUGGUUGCACGAGUCUGCCAGCUCUAUCCUAAUGCUGUGCCAAGCAUGCUGGUCUCGAGAUUCUUCAGGGUUUUUACCCAGUGGCGCUGGCCAACUCCAGUGAUGCUUUGUGCCAUUGAGGAGGAGGAACUUGGCUUUCCUGUGUGGGAUCCACGCAAAAAUCCUCGUGACAGAACACAUCAUAUGCCCAUUAUCACCCCAGCAUAUCCAUGCAUGAACUCCAGCUAUAAUGUUUCGACGAGCACCCUGAGGGUUAUGAUAGAACAAUUCCAGUUUGGCAAUAAAAUAUGCCAGGAAAUUGAGAUGAAUAAGGCUAGUUGGUCUGCCCUUUUUGAGCCUUUCAAUUUUUUUGAGGCGUAUAAAAAUUAUUUGCAAGUUGACAUCAUCGCUGAGGAUGAUGAAGAUCUCAGACUUUGGAAGGGAUGGGUGGAGUCUCGAUUGAGGCAACUGACGUUAAAGAUUGAGCGGGACACCUAUGGGAAAUUGCAAUGCCAUCCAUACCCAUAUGAGUAUGCAGACCCUUCUAGACAGUGUGCACAUUGUGCUUUCUUCAUGGGCUUAUCAAGGAAAGAAGGUGUGAAAAUACAAGAAGGUCAGCAGUUUGAUAUUCGUGGAACAGUUGAUGAGUUCAGGCAUGAGAUCAACAUGUAUAUGUUCUGGAAGCCUGGGAUGGAGUUGGCGGUUUCGCAUGUCCGGAGGAAAGAGAUUCCAGCUUAUGUGUUUCCAGAAGGAUACAAGAGACCUCGUCCUCAAAGGCAUUUGAACCAUCAGCACCACUCUGAUAAGAAUGACCCUGGAAAUGGAUCUCCAGACAGCCAGCUGAAGAGAAAGCAUGAUUCUACUGGGAUUGAUGAUACUGAACCUUGCCGGUCUGUUAAGAGGGCUUCAAUCAGUCCAGUUCACCCAAAAACUUCAUCACCUCGGUCAGGCAAUGUUAGUGAUGAGCCCAUAAGCAAUAAUCAACAAAAGGUCACUUCUAAUGCAAGUGGUGGGAGUCAGGAUUCACCUGGCAGUGGCAAUCAAGAUCAAACAAAGUGCUCAAGUUCAUCACAUGCAUCUGAGAAAAGCUUGGAUUCAGUCGCAUCAGGCUCCAAGUGUGUGAAAAUUGAAGCGGUUUGUUCUGGUGACGUGACUAGCAAGCAUGUUGAUUGUAUUUCACCUGUCAAGGACAGCACUGCUCCAACCGUAGCAGUGAGUACAACUUUAAAGCGUGUUGCCGAGAAGGUUGUUUUGGAGCUUGUUGGAAGUGAAAGCAUCGGCGGCAAUAAUGCAGAGUUACUGCAGAUUGCAGAAACAGACAUGGGAAAUGUCCUUGUUGAAAAUCUGCACUUCGGUGGGAAUGGAGUUCCUCAGAGCGGCCUCCCUGAAGAGUUAGAGCUGAACAAUGGGAUUGAAGUGCUUUCUAAAGCUCAUGCAGGUUUGAAGUCGGAUGGAUCCCAGAAGUCAUCAUUGAGAGUUAGUUUGACAUCAACAGCAUGA